rnacentral:rRNA from 1 species
AGCGCAACCCCUAUCUUUACUUGCCNUCAGGUUGGGNUGGGCACUCUAGAGAGACCGCCGGUGACAAGCCGGAGGAAGGUGGGGAUGACGUCAAGUCCUCAUGGCCCUUAUGUCCUGGGCUACACACGUGCUACAAUGGCGGUGACAGUGGGAAGCUAGGUGGUGACACCAUGCUGAUCUCUAAAAGCCGUCUCAGUUCGGAUUGCACUCUGCAACUCGAGUGCAUGAAGGUGGAAUCGCUAGUAAUCGCGGAUCAGCAUGCCGCGGUGAAUACGUUCCCGGGUCUUGUACACAC